rfam:Ciona savignyi cont_60720, whole genome shotgun sequence.
UAAACGGCUCUUUUCAGAGCCACCAAUGCCAUGUAAAGAGUCAAGG